rnacentral:rRNA from 2 species
GUGGGUAGUUUGACUGGGGCGGUCUCCUCCCAAAGAGUAACGGAGGAGCACGAAGGUUGGCUAAUCCUGGUCGGACAUCAGGAGGUUAGUGCAAUGGCAUAAGCCAGCUUGACUGCGAGCGUGACGGCGCGAGCAGGUGCGAAAGCAGGUCAUAGUGAUCCGGUGGUUCUGAAUGGAAGGGCCAUCGCUCAACGGAUAAAAGGUACUCCGGGGAUAACAGGCUGAUACCGCCCAAGAGUUCAUAUCGACGGCGGUGUUUGGCACCUCGAUGUCGGCUCAUCACAUCCUGGGGCUGAAGUAGGUCCCAAGGGUAUGGCUGUUCGCCAUUUAAAGUGGUACGCGAGCUGGGUUUAGAACGUCGUGAGACAGUUCGGUCCCUAUCUGCCGUGGGCGCUGGAGAAUUGAGGGGGGCUGCUCCUAGUACGAGAGGACCGGAGUGGACGCAUCAC